rnacentral:rRNA from 1 species
GACGUAGGGACCGAGCGUUGUCCGGAAUCAUUGGGCGUAAAGAGCGUGUAGGCGGCCAUUUAAGUCCUGCGUGAAAUCCUGCGGCUCAACCGCAGACGGUCGUGGGAAACUGGAUGGCUAGAGUGCGGGAGAGGAGAGUGGAAUUCCCGGUGUAGCGGUGAAAUGCGUAGAUAUCGUAAGGAAGACCAGUGGCGAAGGCGGGUCUCUGGACAGUUCCUGACGCUGAGGCACGAAGGUCAGGGGAGCAAACGGG